rnacentral:rRNA from 1 species
GAUGAACGCUGGCGGCGUGCCUAAUACAUGCAAGUCGAGCGAACGGACGAGAAGCUUGCUUCUCUGAUGUUAGCGGCGGACGGGUGAGUAACACGUGGAUAACCUACCUAUAAGACUGGGAUAACUUCGGGAAACCGGAGCUAAUACCGGAUAAUAUUUUGAACCGCAUGGUUCAAAAGUGAAAGACGGUCUUUCUGUCACUUAUAGAUGGAUCCGCGCUGCAUUAGCUAGUUGGUAAGUUAACGGCUUACCAAGGCAACGAUGCAUAGCCGACCUGAGAGGGGGAUCGGCCACACUGGAAGUGAGACACGGUCCAGACUCCGACGGGAGGCAGAAGUAGGGAAUCUUCCGAAAUGGGCGAAAGCCUGACGGAGCAACGCAGCGUGAGUGAUGAAGGUCUUCGGAUCGUAAAACUCUGUUAUUAGGGAAGAACAUAUGUGUAAGUAACUGUGCACAUCUUGACGGUACCUAAUCAGAAAGCCACGGCUAACUACGU